GAAAAUGAAUUAAUAGGAGCUUCUAACUCUUUGUAUUGCAGUAAUGUAACAUUUUUC
rnacentral:tRNA from 1 species